rnacentral:rRNA from 1 species
CGUACACUCCUACGGGAGGCAGCAGUGGGGAAUAUUGGACAAUGGGCGCAAGCCUGAUCCAGCCAUGCCGCGUGAGUGAUGAAGGCCCUAGGGUUGUAAAGCUCUUUCACCGGUGAAGAUAAUGACGGUAACCGGAGAAGAAGCCCCGGCUAACUUCGUGCCAGCAGCCGCGGUAAUACGAAGGGGGCUAGCGUUGUUCGGAUUUACUGGGCGUAAAGCGCACGUAGGCGGACUAUUAAGUCAGGGGUGAAAUCCCGGGGCUCAACCCCGGAACUGCCUUUGAUACUGGUAGUCUUGAGUUCGAGAGAGGUGAGUGGAAUUCCGAGUGUAGAGGUGAAAUUCGUAGAUAUUCGGAGGAACACCAGUGGCGAAGGCGGCUCACUGGCUCGAUACUGACGCUGAGGUGCGAAAGCGUGGGGAGCAAACAGGAUUAGAAACCCGGGUAGUCCCA